rnacentral:tRNA from 1 species
AAAAUCAGUCGAUUUUCAAAAUCGUGAGGGUUCAAGUCCCUCUAUCCCCA